rnacentral:rRNA from 1 species
CCUACGGGUGGCAGCAGUCGAGAAUCAUUCACAAUGGGGGAAACCCUGAUGGUGCGACGCCGCGUGGGGGAAUGAAGGUCUUCGGAUUGUAAACCCCUGUCAUGUGGGAGCAAAUUAAAAAGAUAGUACCACAAGAGGAAGAGACGGCUAACUCUGUGCCAGCAGCCGCGGUAAUACAGAGGUCUCAAGCGUUGUUCGGAAUCACUGGGCGUAAGGCGUGCGUAGGCUGUUUCGUAAGUCGUGUGUGAAAGGCGCGGGCUCAACCCGCGGACGGCACAUGAUACUGCGAGACUAGAGUAAUGGAGGGGGAACCGGAAUUCGCGGUGUAGCAGUGAAAUGCGUAGAUAUCGAGAGGAACACUCGUGGCGAAGGCGGGUUCCUGGACAUUAACUGACGCUGAGGAACGAAGGCCAGGGGAGCGAAAGGGAUUAGAUACCCUAGUAGUC